rnacentral:lncRNA from 1 species
GGCAUCGGCCAACAGGGAGGACAGUGCCCCCACUAUGAGAUUUCGACGCCUGACUCCUGGCUACUUCCGGGUGCUACAGAUGCAGGUGGCUGGGGAGCUGAAGGCAGAGCCCCGGAGUCCCCUGGUUGGGAUUGUGGCUACAUUGUUGGCUGUCCUCGGGUUAGGUGGCUCCUGCUAUGCAGUAUGGAAGAUGGUGAAGCAGCGGCAACCAUCACAGGCCCCGUGAUGAGGCGGGUAGCCUCUCGCCCAGGCUUGGAGCUUCUUCCUGACUGUAGGGUUCGACACUCAGCUGCUUCAGCCUGGGAAAAAGAAGAGUUGGAGAUCGGAGCUCACCGAGUGCAAACCCUUCCUGCAUGGCACCCAUCCGCCAGUCCUCUACUGACCCCUCCAUACCUUUUCUUGUGGUCUUUGGAUCGGAAAUGGGUCUUCAGGUUGGCUGAAUCGAUGAAGUACCUCCUGCAGGAAUGUAGGGUGAGGGAAAGAGUGAAGGGGUGAGGUCUCUCACACCUCCCUGGCCCUAGCUCGUUCCCAGACAUCGGAUUCUGAACCCGAAGUGAUAAGUGGCGGGUUGACCCAGGGAUCCCAAGACAGAACCUUCUAGCGGCUCGCGGCCCGGACCUCGCUGCCCCUAGCUAGUACCUCAGACCCUGCUCCUCCCCAGGCUGGACUCACGCGCAAGCCAGACAGCGAUGCAGGCCGCCCCCUGGCAGGUCCGGGUCGGGCUCCGCGUCCGGCUCCGGCUUGGGCCGCGGGAGCCCCUGCGGCCUCAGCUCGCGAUGAAUCUCAUCCAGGUCCGGCCGCCGCUUCUUGGCCUUCAUCUGGCGGGCUAAGGAAUGUGCUCGGUGCGCGCCGGUCCGCCGAGAGCGACCCAUGAUCAGAGAGACACCC